rnacentral:rRNA from 1 species
GACGAACGCUGGCGGCGUGCUUAACACAUGCAAGUCGAGCGGUAAGGCCCUUUCGGGGUACGACGAGCGGCGAACGGGUAGAGUAACACGUGGGUGACCUGCCCUCAGCUCUGGGAGUAAGCCUCGGGAAACCGGGUCUAAUACUGGAUAUGACUCCAUGACGCAUGUUGUGGGGUGGAAAGCCUUGUGCGGCUGAGGAUGGGCCCGCGGCCUAUCAGCUUGUUGGUGGGGUGANGGCCUACCAAGGCGACGACGGGUAGCCGGCCUGAGAGGGCGACCGGCCACACUGGGACUGAGGACACGGCCCAGACUCCUACGGGAGGCAGCAGUGGGGAAUCUUGCGCAAUGGGCGAAAGCCUGACGCAGCGACGCCGCGUGAGGGAUGA